CCUACGUGUGGCUGCAGUGAGGAAUAUUGGUCAAUGGACGAGAGUCUGAACCAGCCAAGUAGCGUGAAGGAUGACUGCCCUAUGGGUUGUAAACUUCUUUUAUAUGGGAAUAAAAUGUUCCACGUGUGGGCUUUUGUAUGUACCAUAUGAAUAAGGAUCGGCUAACUCCGUGCCAGCAGCCGCGGUAAUACGGAGGAUCCGAGCGUUAUCCGGAUUUAUUGGGUUUAAGGGGAGCGUAGGUGGAUUGUUAAGUCAGUUGUGAAAGUUUGCGGCUCAACCGUAAAAUUGCAGUUGAAACUGGCAGUCUGGAGUACAGUAGAGGUAGGCGGAAUGCGUGGUGUAGCGGUGAAAUGCUUAGAUAUCACGAAGAACCCCGAUUGCGAAGGCAGCUUACUAAACUGUGACUGACAUUGAUGCUCGAAAGUGUGGGUAUCAAACAGGAUUAGAUACCCUUGUAGUC
rnacentral:rRNA from 1 species